rnacentral:rRNA from 1 species
AGGAUAAACGCUGGCGGCGUGCCUAAAACAUGCAAGUCGGACGGGCCCUUUCGGGGGUCAGUGGCGGACGGCUGAGUAACACGUGGGUGACCUGCCCUCGCGCGGGGGACAACCGCCCGAAAGGGUGGCUAAUACCGCAGAUGUCGUGUCUUCGGUGGCAUGACUGAACUCGGAAGGGGCGCGAGGAGGGGCCCGCGGCCGAUUAGCUCGUUGGUGGGGUGACGGCCUACCAAGGCGACGAUCGGUAGCUGGUCUGAGAGGAUGAUCAGCCAGACUGGGACUGCGAACGGCCCAGACUCCUACGGGAGGCAGCAGUUAGGAAUUUUGGGCAAUGGGGGCAACCCGUGACCCAGCAACGCCGCGUGGGUGACGAAGGCCUUCGGGUCGUAAAGCCCUUUCUCGGGGAAGAGUGGUGACGGUACCCGAGGAAGAAGCCCCGGCUAACUACGUGCCAGCAGCCGC